UACGGGGGGAGCAAGCGUUGUUCGGAUUUACUGGGCGUAAAGGGCGCGUAGGCGGCCUGUGCAAGUCAGUUGUGAAAUCUCCGAGCUUAACUCGGAACGGUCAACUGAUACUGCUCGGCUAGAGUGCGGAAGGGGCAACUGGAAUUCUUGGUGUAGCGGUGAAAUGCGUAGAUAUCAAGAGGAACACCUGUGGUGUAGACGGCUCUCUGGACAGUCACUGACGCUGAGACACGAAAGCGUGGGUAGCAAACAGG
rnacentral:rRNA from 1 species